rnacentral:miRNA from 1 species
UUGGGAAUAACAGGGAAAUACG